rnacentral:rRNA from 1 species
UACCAGCACCCCGAGUGGUCGGGACGUUUUAUUGGGCCUAAAGCAUCCGUAGCCGGUUCUGCAAGUCUUCCGUUAAAUCCACCUGCUUAACAGAUGGGCCGCGGAAGAUACUAUAGAGCUAGGAGGCGGGAGAGGCAAGCGGUACUCGAUGGGUAGGGGUAAAAUCCGUUGAUCCAUUGAAGACCACCAGUGGCGAAGGCGGCUUGCCAGAAUGCGCUCGACGGUGAGGGAUGAAAGCUGGGGGAGCAAAGCCGG